rnacentral:rRNA from 1 species
AUUGAACGCUGGCGGCAGGCUUAACACAUGCAAGUCGAGCGGAGCGAGGGUGCUUGCACCUUAGCUUAGCGGCGGACGGGUGAGUAAUGCUUAGGAAUCUGCCUAUUAGUGGGGGACAACAUUCCGAAAGGAAUGCUAAUACCGCAUACGCCCUACGGGGGAAAGCAGGGGAUCUUCGGACCUUGCGCUAAUAGAUGAGCCUAAGUCGGAUUAGCUAGUUGGUGGGGUAAAGGCCUACCAAGGCGACGAUCUGUAGCGGGUCUGAGAGGAUGAUCCGCCACACUGGGACUGAGACACGGCACAGACUCCUACGGGAGGCAGCAGUGGGGAAUAUUGGACAAUGGGCGUAAGCAUGAUCCAGCCAUGCCGCGUGUGUGAAGAAGGCCUUUUGGUUGUAAAGCACUUUAAGCGAGGAGGAGGCUACUUAGAUUAAUACUCUGGGAUAGUGGACGUUACUCGCAGAAUAAGCACCGGCUAACUCUGUGCCAGCCGCCGCGGUAA